rfam:Betaproteobacteria bacterium RIFCSPLOWO2_02_67_12 rifcsplowo2_02_sub10_scaffold_2430, whole genome shotgun sequence.
CUACUGAUAUCGAGAGGUGUUGGGAUGGGACGCCAGAAGUCAGCCGAGGCCAUAGUAGGCGUCAGGAUGAGCUGAAGGGC